GUGAAUAUAGUUUAAAAAAAACAUUAGACUGUGAAUCUAAUAAUAGGAAAUUAUCCUCCUUAUUUACC
rnacentral:tRNA from 1 species